AACAGUGAAAUCACCUGGACAUUUUAUCAAGCAAGGAAAAAGAAGUGGAAAAGUGCCUGACAGUCAUCUUUUCCAUGUGAAUUUUCACUUAACCGCUGAAAUUUGGAGACUUAAGAAUAAACUCCUGAAGGCCCGGGUAAGUAAAUUAUCAACCGUCAAAACAGUCGCCUAGAAAACGGAUCAGUCAUGAGUGAUUAAAGCCCCACGUUAUUCUUUUGGUAUUGUCUGUUCAGUAUGAAGAAACAAUAGUGUCAUAUUGUAUUCCGUAUAUCUAAGAUCUCAAAAUUAAGACUUUAGGAAAUUUAAGAAGUUUUAAGAUCAAAAUGAUUGGAUGUCAGACUUAUUUAGAAACUUUUUGAAUGUCUGUGCUGUUCUUAAAAUAAUAGACAAGACAUGACUUAUAGCCUAAUAUAGGAAGUAAAAUUGGUCAUUGGAAAGGCUAAAACAAUAAGUUUAAAUAAUUUCAUGUAGAAUUAUUUUUUUCUCCUCCAUCUUGUCAUAUUACAUAUAUCAUGUAUAUCACCAU
rnacentral:lncRNA from 1 species